CUCAAGCGCUCCUCCUGCCUCAGCCUCCCAAAGUGCUAGGAUUAUAGGAGUGAGCCACUGCACCUAGCCUUAAAGAACUAUUUCUUCAUUGUCAUCUUAAGCAAGAGUGGAGACUUUGUGGGGUCUGAAAGGUUUCUAAAACAGGAGAGCUGAGCAGAGGAUCCUAGAGACGGAGCUUCUGCUGUGCUUGACAGGUCUGGAGGGCAGGCUGAGGGAGUCCAUGACCUUUGUAUCAAAAAUCAAGAAACCUUGUGGAAAAGAAUGUCUCAGGAGAUUAGAGAGUAGUCAGUUAAGAAAUCUGGUCCAAGGACCAGUAAUGGAAGGUCAGCUGAUUUCAACAGAGCAUUAUCAUGUGGUGCUUCUCAGACUUUUCCAAGGAUAGGUUCAUGAUCUACGGAGGAGAAGAAAUAGAAGGAAACCACAUCAAGCAUAUAAUUUCUUCUGUUUCCUUUAUUAAACAGCCAUCAUCUAUGUGAUUUUUACAUUCUUCUCUAUAUGUCUUAAUCACUUACUGUUUAAAUGGUUUACCUCUUUCAACUUGCCUUCAAAUCUAGUAAAAUUGAGGCCCCAGAAAGUUUUGCCAUCUAUACCUCCUGGUCUCUCCUCAACACAUCAUCUUGGAUUCUUAGGGGAGCAAAUGCCCCAGUUGGAAGUGCACAGACUUAGUUCAUGCCCUUACUCCCUGUUCUAAUUUUAGUUCCUGUGAACUUAUGUUCAAGUUAGGGAAAUGGGACUCAUUAGUCAUAUAAAAGAGCUGUUUCAUCAAAGUGUCCAUUUCUUAAACUGAAUUCAUGAGAGCUGGAGGGCCAAUAGCCCUGCCAUAUUGGUGCAAGUGAAGUGUCAUAUUGGCACGAGAAGUUCUACACCACAGGAUAGAGAGACGGCAGAAAGUGGUGAUGGCAAUGCAGAAUGUCUGGAAGCACAUAUAAGACACUCUGGGAAACUCCCCUUUUAUAAGGAGUAAUUCAGAAGGGAUUUGGAGCUAGAAUUUACAUUAUUCUAUAUAUAAUGAGGGUGAACCAGAGACAAUGUUUUGUUAGCUAUUAUGGUGACGCUGAUGUGCCUGCCCCAUCCCCAGGAUAUUAUGGCUUAAGCACAAAGCAUCCUCAAGUUCUUGGAUGCCCCCAAUUUGUUGCAGUGGAAACUGUUUAGGAUUCUCUAUUUGACAUAUUCACAAAUUCAAUUUAGGAAGAAAGUUUGCUGACCAGUCAAAAAUCUCAAUGUGAAUGUCUUUAAAAUCAAUUUUUCCAUUCUUAGGUAAGCCCACUAUACAUAGCAGCAACUAAAUAUUGAGAUAUACAAGGGCAGUAACAGGCCAGUGUAAUGGCAUGGUUUCUACUUGCUGUUUUGGGGGAUUCUGAGAGCAGGGAAGGGAUCUUAAAGAGGGUGGCUUCCCAAGCCCUUCUCCCCACAUCCUAGUUCUCACCAUCCUUGUCUCACAGCUGACAGUGAGAGGGCCAGACUUUAUAAGUGUAAAUUCUUGGGCUUUUACAGACUUUUUUGCCUCUAUCACCCUUCUCUCAGAUCGGCUAUGGUAGGGAUCUAGUUACAAUGAAAUAAUUGCAAAAGAAGAGGGGGAAAAUGGCAAUAUUCCUAAAAGAAUGCAACAGUCAAAUUUGACCUAGAAUAUAUGCAAAUAAUAUAUAUCAUAUCCAGAGCUACUUGUGACUUAUUACUAUUAAUAAUCGACACAUGAAAAUUUGCAAAUGUUUCAUAAAUUAGAGUCAAUGGCAUCCCUAUAAUAAUGUCACUUGAGCUCACGUGAUUGUGAUAUCCUUUUCUAUGCAAAAGAGAAAUGAAUAAGGUUCCAGCCCAUCCUCCAGGAAAUGAACAAAGGGUAUGAGACACCAUAUCCAUCAUCCAUUGAUUAUUGAGCAGAAAAAUGUUUGAGAACUCCUAGGACUGAAUGAGGAGGUAGGCAUCAUGAUUUUCUUCUAGUUUGGUCCUGGGUCUUGGAUGAUCCAAUUUUAUUUUUGCAGAUACUGUUCAGGAAUUUGACAUAUUUAAAAAAUCAAUCGAGGAAGAAAGAAUAAGAACCCCUAAUUAAAAACAUAAGGGAAAAUUAAUUAAAAUCAUUCACAAGAAUUUUUCAGGGUCUUUCCUAAACAACCUCUCCCUUCUGCCUUUGACCAAACGGACUGAAGACAACUAAAUGCCUAACCAGUUUGUGACAGCAGUGAAGCAAUCAAGGGCCUUAAGCAGUAUGAUGUGAGUCAGAACCAUGACCCAGGUAUUUCUUAUUUGGAAAGCAGUUCUCCUCUUUCUUGGGUUUGUAUUUACAUGGGUGCCUAAAAUUGUUUUCCAUUUGGGAACCUCAGAGAUUUGUUUUAACUGAGAUGAUGCAUUUGUCACAGCAAUUUGACUCUAAAUUAUUACUAUAAGCUGGCAUCUAGAGGUGACUACAGAAUGUUGUUGAAUAGCACAGCAUCUUAUAUGGUGGUUAAUUACACAGGCUUUGGCAUUAGAAAGCCUGGGUCAAACUCUGAUGGCAGCCACUUAUCAGCUCCAUGACCUUGGAGAGUUUAAUCACUCAGAGCAUCCAGUUUUCUUAUCUAUAAAAUUAUAAUAUAAUAAUUAUCCUUACUUCAUAGGAAACUGGAGAUGAUUAAAUAAAACAAUGCUGGUACCAUACUUAGGCAAGGACCUGUCUGACCCAAAUUUUCCUCAUAGAACAAGGACAGAUGACUGAAUAAAUUAUACUCUUCAGCAGAAAGAAGUCAAAUGAUCAGCCAUCACUUAUUGAAUCAGCUACAGCGAGUGCUUUCCCAAAGAAUAUUGCAUCAUAAAUCACCUGGUGGUUAGGUGACUUUAUCAUCACAUUCCACAGAUGAAGACAGGGAGACGACGUUUCACAUAAUCACACAGCUAGAGGUUGCUAUUCAGGAAAACAGAGACCCUGUCAUAUAUGAAAGUGUAGAAUCAGUCCUGGGAGGAGGUGGAGUAAGAUGACCUAAUAGAAACCUCCAGUGAUUGUCCCUCCACAUGAACACCAAAUUCAACAACUAUCUAUGUAAGCAAGCACCUUCAGAAGAACCAAAAAUUGGAUGAGUGAUUAUACUACUUGGUUUUAACACUGUAUCAAGGAAAGAGGCACUGAAGAUGCCAGAAAAGACAAUCUUGAAUUACUAUACCACCCCUUCCCCAUCCCCCAGCAAUGCCAUGCCAUUACACCUAGGGGAGAAGGAAUCUGUGUGCCUAGGGGAGGGAGAGGGACUGUGGGGUUUGCAUUGAAAUUAAUGGCCACUUUGACACAGGUGAACAUAGCAUUAGGCAGAAUUCUGCUGGUGCCUGUGGAGGGAGCAUUUAUACCAGCCCUGAAACUGGAGUUCCAGCUAGCCCACCAGUGGCUGCCAAAAAGUGGCCUGGGGCCUGGACUGAAUUUGUAAGGCAGUCAGGCCACAAAGGCUGCAGUCCUUGGGCAAUUCCUGCAGCUGUACUGGCUUGGAACCUGUUGACUGGGGGUGUAUCUGACUCUAGGGGUGCAUCAGACACCAGCUGUGGUGGCUAAGCCUGUGUCACCCUCCCUCUGCCUCCAGGCAGUACAGCGCAGGGAGAGUCUUCUUCCACUUUGGAAAAGGAAAAGGAAGAGUUCAGAGGACUUUGGUUUGCAACUUGGGUACCAGCUCAGCAACAGUAAAAUAAAGUACCAAGUAGACUUCUGAAACCCCUGAGUUCAGGGCUUAGUUCCUAGACAGCAUUUCUGGACCCACCCUGGGACAGAAGGAAACAUGCUGCCCUGAAGGAAAAUAUCCAGUCCUGGCAGAAUUUACCACCUGCUGACUAAAGAGCCCUUAGGCUUUGACUAAACAUCAGAGGUAGCCAGGCAACAAUCACUGUGGACUUUGGGUGAGACUGGGUCAGCUUCAGGUGUGACCUGAUGCUGGUGGCCAUGAGUGAGUGCCCACAUCACUCCUCUCCCAACUCCAGCAGCCCAGCACAGAAAGUGAGGAAAGGGAGUGAAAACCUUUGCCUGAUAAUCCAGGGAAUUCUCCUGUAUCUUACCCAAGUCCACCAAAGUGGCACCACCAGAAGUCUGCAAGAGUCACAGCAUUACUGGUCUUGGGACACCCUCAGAGCUGAUAUGGCUGCAGUGACCAAAGACUUAGAUCAAAACACUCGGUUCCCUUUGAAUAUCUGGAAAGCCUUCU